rnacentral:lncRNA from 1 species
CUGGGGAAACUGUUCUGAGCUUUCUUAUAUAUACACGAAUAUAUAUAGAUAUAGGAAUAAUUUGAAACUUCGAACGAUAUUGAACUUCUUUUCACAUUUUCCCCCGUAUCAUGCAUGAUCUGUAAGAUAGGAAUAAUAUGUAACUAGCAAACUAUAUCACAAGGAAACAAAUAUGUCAUCCUGUAGAUUAUCUGUUAGUGUUUGAUAGCAGCAUCAAGAUUUCACAGAUUUCAGGCAUUGGAUUGUUUGUCUUUUUUUUUGUUUCGUCCAGUAGGUAACAAUGUUUCUGAAUGAUGCAGUGCGUUGUCCUUGUUUUAAU